GGGUUGUGAGGUUAAGCGACUAAGCGUACACGGUGGAUGCCCUGGCAGUCAGAGGCGAUGAAGGACGUGCUAAUCUGCGAUAAGCGUCGGUGAGGUGAUAUGAACCGUUAUAACCGGCGAUUUCCGAAUGGGGAAACCCAGUGUGUUUCGACACACUAUCAUUAACUGAAUCCAUAGGUUAAUGAGGCGAACCGGGGGAACUGAAACAUCUAAGUACCCCGAGGAAAAGAAAUCAACCGAGAUUCCCCCAGUAGCGGCGAGCGAACGGGGAGGAGCCCAGAGCCUGAAUCAGUGUGUGUGUUAGUGGAAGCGUCUGGAAAGGCGUGCGAUACAGGGUGACAGCCCCGUACACAAAAAUGCACAUAUUGUGAGCUCGAUGAGUAGGGCGGGACACGUGGUAUCCUGUCUGAAUAUGGGGGGACCAUCCUCCAAGGCUAAAUACUCCUGACUGACCGAUAGUGAACCAGUACCGUGAGGGAAAGGCGAAAAGAACCCCGGCGAGGGGAGUGAAAAAGAACCUGAAACCGUGUACGUACAAGCAGUGGGAGCCUCUUAAUGGGGUGACUGCGUACCUUUUGUAUAAUGGGUCAGCGACUUAUAUUCUGUAGCAAGGUUAACCGAAUAGGGGAGCCGAAGGGAAACCGAGUCUUAACUGGGCGUUAAGUUGCAGGGUAUAGACCCGAAACCCGGUGAUCUAGCCAUGGGCAGGUUGAAGGUUGGGUAACACUAACUGGAGGACCGAACCGACUAAUGUUGAAAAAUUAGCGGAUGACUUGUGGCUGGGGGUGAAAGGCCAAUCAAACCGGGAGAUAGCUGGUUCUCCCCGAAAGCUAUUUAGGUAGCGCCUCGUGAAUUCAUCUCCGGGGGUAGAGCACUGUUUCGGCAAGGGGGUCAUCCCGACUUACCAACCCGAUGCAAACUGCGAAUACCGGAGAAUGUUAUCACGGGAGACACACGGCGGGUGCUAACGUCCGUCGUGAAGAGGGAAACAACCCAGACCGCCAGCUAAGGUCCCAAAGUCAUGGUUAAGUGGGAAACGAUGUGGGAAGGCCCAGACAGCCAGGAUGUUGGCUUAGAAGCAGCCAUCAUUUAAAGAAAGCGUAAUAGCUCACUGGUCGAGUCGGCCUGCGCGGAAGAUGUAACGGGGCUAAACCAUGCACCGAAGCUGCGGCAGCGACACUAUGUGUUGUUGGGUAGGGGAGCGUUCUGUAAGCCUGUGAAGGUGGCCUGUGAGGGUUGCUGGAGGUAUCAGAAGUGCGAAUGCUGACAUAAGUAACGAUAAAGCGGGUGAAAAGCCCGCUCGCCGGAAGACCAAGGGUUCCUGUCCAACGUUAAUCGGGGCAGGGUGAGUCGACCCCUAAGGCGAGGCCGAAAGGCGUAGUCGAUGGGAAACAGGUUAAUAUUCCUGUACUUGGUGUUACUGCGAAGGGGGGACGGAGAAGGCUAUGUUGGCCGGGCGACGGUUGUCCCGGUUUAAGCGUGUAGGCUGGUUUUCCAGGCAAAUCCGGAAAACCAAGGCUGAGGCGUGAUGACGAGGCACUACGGUGCUGAAGUGACAAAUGCCCUGCUUCCAGGAAAAGCCUCUAAGCAUCAGGUAACAUCAAAUCGUACCCAAAACCGACACAGGUGGUCAGGUAGAGAAUACCAAGGCGCUUGAGAGAACUCGGGUGAAGGAACUAGGCAAAAUGGUGCCGUAACUUCGGGAGAAGGCACGCUGAUAUGUAGGUGAAGCGACUUGCUCGUGGAGCUGAAAUCAGUCGAAGAUACCAGCUGGCUGCAACUGUUUAUUAAAAACACAGCACUGUGCAAACACGAAAGUGGACGUAUACGGUGUGACGCCUGCCCGGUGCCGGAAGGUUAAUUGAUGGGGUUAGCGGUAACGCGAAGCUCUUGAUCGAAGCCCCGGUAAACGGCGGCCGUAACUAUAACGGUCCUAAGGUAGCGAAAUUCCUUGUCGGGUAAGUUCCGACCUGCACGAAUGGCGUAAUGAUGGCCAGGCUGUCUCCACCCGAGACUCAGUGAAAUUGAACUCGCUGUGAAGAUGCAGUGUACCCGCGGCAAGACGGAAAGACCCCGUGAACCUUUACUAUAGCUUGACACUGAACAUUGAGCCUUGAUGUGUAGGAUAGGUGGGAGGCUUUGAAGUGUGGACGCCAGUCUGCAUGGAGCCGACCUUGAAAUACCACCCUUUAAUGUUUGAUGUUCUAACGUUGGCCCGUAAUCCGGGUUGCGGACAGUGUCUGGUGGGUAGUUUGACUGGGGCGGUCUCCUCCUAAAGAGUAACGGAGGAGCACGAAGGUUGGCUAAUCCUGGUCGGACAUCAGGAGGUUAGUGCAAUGGCAUAAGCCAGCUUGACUGCGAGCGUGACGGCGCGAGCAGGUGCGAAAGCAGGUCAUAGUGAUCCGGUGGUUCUGAAUGGAAGGGCCAUCGCUCAACGGAUAAAAGGUACUCCGGGGAUAACAGGCUGAUACCGCCCAAGAGUUCAUAUCGACGGCGGUGUUUGGCACCUCGAUGUCGGCUCAUCACAUCCUGGGGCUGAAGUAGGUCCCAAGGGUAUGGCUGUUCGCCAUUUAAAGUGGUACGCGAGCUGGGUUUAGAACGUCGUGAGACAGUUCGGUCCCUAUCUGCCGUGGGCGCUGGAGAACUGAGGGGGGCUGCUCCUAGUACGAGAGGACCGGAGUGGACGCAUCACUGGUGUUCGGGUUGUCAUGCCAAUGGCACUGCCCGGUAGCUAAAUGCGGAAGAGAUAAGUGCUGAAAGCAUCUAAGCACGAAACUUGCCCCGAGAUGAGUUCUCCCUGACUCCUUGAGAGUCCUGAAGGAACGUUGAAGACGACGACGUUGAUAGGCCGGGUGUGUAAGCGCAGCGAUGCGUUGAGCUAACCGGUACUAAUGAACCGUGAGGCUUAACCUUACAACGCCGAAG
rnacentral:rRNA from 1 species